rnacentral:lncRNA from 1 species
AAUUUGUCUGCAUAGAGAAGACCAUUACACAGGAAGAAAACAAUAAUAGAGGCAGCAUUGCAGCUCUCAGGAAUACACAGGACAACCGAGGCAUGACAGGGUCUUCUCAUCUGUCACCCAAG